rnacentral:rRNA from 1 species
CGACCGGCAAACGGGUGCGGAACACGUACGCAACCUUCCUUUAACUGGAGAAUAGCCCCUCGAAAGAGGGAUUAAUACUCCGUAACAUAUUGAUAAGGCAUCUUAUUAAUAUUAUAGCUCCGGCGGUUAAAGAUGGGCGUGCGCCUGAUUAGGUAGUUGGCGGGGUAACGGCCCACCAAGCCUUCGAUCAGUAACUGGUGUGAGAGCACGACCAGUCACACGGGCACUGAGACACGGGCCCG